CCUACGGGAGACUGCAGUGAGGAAUAUUGGUCAAUGGACGAGAGUCUGAACCAGCCAAGUAGCGUGAAGGAUGACUGCCCUAUGGGUUGUAAACUUCUUUUAUAAAGGAAUAAAACGAGGCACGUGUGCCUUUUUGCAUGUACUUUAUGAAUAAGGAUCGGCUAACUCCGUGCCAGCAGCCGCGGUAAGACGGAGGAUCCGAGCGUUAGCCGGAUUUAUUGGGGUUACAGGGAGCGUAGAGGGGUUGUUAAGUCAGUUGUGAAAGUUUGCGGCUCAACCGUAAAAUUGCAAUUGAUACUGGCAGUCUUUAGUCCAGUUGAGGUCGGCGGCAUUCGUGUUGUAGCGG
rnacentral:rRNA from 1 species